rnacentral:lncRNA from 1 species
GUUAGCUGUUCGGUGACAUCUUGCCUGAUAGUUUCACAGAUAAUUCCCCAAACGAGAGAGGCCUUUAUAGCCUAUUCUAAUAGUCCUAUUUCUGGACAAACCAAUAUCGAUUGGAUUUAUAUAUCAAGAGUAGCUAAAUAGACUCCAAAUGGAACCUGAGCAGAGAAAAAGAAGCAGGAGAAGAGGAGGAGAGGAGUAGGAGAGAGAAGAGGAGAAGAGGAGGAGAGAGGAGAAGUGGAGGAGAAGAGUAGGAGAGAGGAGAAGUGGAGAAGUGGAGGAGAGGAGGAGUAGAGGAGAAGUGGAGGAGAGGAGGAGUAGAGGAGAAGUGGAGGAGAAGAGAGGAGUAGAGGAGAAGUGGAGGAGAGGAGGAGUAGAGGAGAAGUGGAGGAGAAGAGUAGGAGAGAGGAGAAGAGGAGGAGAGCGGAGAAGUGGAGGAGAAGGGGAGGAGAGAGGAGAAGAGGAGGAGAGAGGAGAAGUGGAGGAGAAGAGUAGGAGAGAGGAGAAGAGGAGAAGAGGAGGAGUAGAGGAGAAGUGUAGGAGAAGAGUAGGAGAGAGGAGAAGUAGAGGAGUAGAGUAGGAGAGAGGAGAAGAGGAGGAGUAGAGUAGGAGAGAGGAGAAGAGGAGAAGAGGAGAAGAGGAGGAGAGAGUAGGAGAGGAGUAGGAGAAGAGUAGGAGAGAGGAGAAGAGGAGAAGAGGAGGAGAAGAGUAGGAGAGAGGAGAAGAGGAGGAGUAGAGAGGAGAAGAGGAGGAGUAGAGUAGGAGAGAGGAGAAGAGGAGAAGAGGAGGAGAGAGGAGAAGAGGAGGAGAAGAGAGGAGUAGAGGAGAAGUGGAGGAGAAGAGGAGAAGAGGAGGAGAGAGGAGAAGAGGAGGAGUAGAGGAGAAGAGGAGAAGUGGAGGAGAAGAGGAGAAGUGGAGGAGAAGAGGAGAAGAGGAGGAGAAGAGGAGAAGAAGAGUGGAGGAGAAGAGGAUGAGAAGAGGAGGAGAGGAGGAGAGGAGGAGAAGAGGAGGAGAAGAGGAGAAGAGGAGGAGAAGAGGAGAAGAAGAGGAGAAGAGGAGGAGAAGAGGAGGAGA